rnacentral:rRNA from 1 species
CCUACGGGGGGCAGCAGUGGGGAAUAUUGGACAAUGGGGGCAACCCUGAUCCAGCCAUGCCGCAUGUGUGAAGAAGGCCCUCGGGUUGUAAAGCACUUUCAGUGAGGAAGAACGCCUGGUGGUUAAUACCCAUCAGGAAAGACAUCACUCACAGAAGAAGCACCGGCUAACUCCGUGCCAGCAGCCGCGGUAAUACGGAGGGUGCGAGCGUUAAUCGGAAUUACUGGGCGUAAAGCGCGCGUAGGUGGCUUGAUAAGCCGGUUGUGAAAGCCCCGGGCUCAACCUGGGAACGGCAUCCGGAACUGUCAAGCUAGAGUGCAGGAGAGGAAGGUAGAAUUCCCGGUGUAGCGGUGAAAUGCGUAGAGAUCGGGAGGAAUACCAGUGGCGAAGGCGGCCUUCUGGACUGACACUGACACUGAGGUGCGAAAGCGUGGGUAGCAAACAGGAUUAGAUACCCGAGUAGUC